GCACACAUCUAUAGUCUAUCAUAUGUACCGUUUACAAUACAAUACAAUAUGGAUACUAAAAGGAUUUCUACUCUCACAAUGGUAUUUUUAUUGGCUUUCUUUGUUAUUGCAUCAGAUUUGUGUCAAGAAUCUGAAGGAGCAAGUGGAUACUAUUCAGGUUACGCAUGUAAAUCAGAUGGAGUUUGUCUACCCAAUUGUCCUAGAGGACAAAUUGGAAAAUGUUUGAGUGGGAAGUGUUGGUGUAUGGACUAUCCGCCAAAUGCCUAAAAUAUUCCCAGAGUUUAUUACUUCAAAUUUCAAAUUAAGUAUUGAAAUAUUGGAAUAUACUCAUAGUUUAUGGGAUCUAGUAAUAUGUCCAAAUACAAAGUCAAUAAGAAAUAAAUAUGUUGUUGAAUAA